UAGGUGAACCUGCGGAGGGAUCAUUACACAAAUAUGAAGGCGGGCUGGAACCUCUCGGGGUUACAGCCUUGCUGAAUUAUUCACCCUUGUCUUUUGCGUACUUCUUGUUUCCUUGGUGGGUUCGCCCACCACUAGGACAAACAUAAACCUUUUGUAAUUGCAAUCAGCGUCAGUAACAAAUUAAUAAUUACAACUUUCAACAACGGAUCUCUUGGUUCUGGCAUCGAUGAAGAACGCAGCGAAAUGCGAUAAGUAGUGUGAAUUGCAGAAUUCAGUGAAUCAUCGAAUCUUUGAACGCACAUUGCGCCCUUUGGUAUUCCAAAGGGCAUGCCUGUUCGAGCGUCAUUUGUACCCUCAAGCUUUGCUUGGUGUUGGGCGUCUUGUCUCUAGCUUUGCUGGAGACUCGCCUUAAAGUAAUUGGCAGCCGGCCUACUGGUUUCGGAGCGCAGCACAAGUCGCACUCUCUAUCAGCAAAGGUCUAGCAUCCAUUAAGCCUUUUUUUUCAACUUUUGACCUCGGAUCAGGUAGGGAUACCCGCUGAACUUAAGCAUAUCAAUAAGCGGAGGAGGAUCCGUG
rnacentral:rRNA from 1 species